GAUCGAUGGACUCAGGACGAACGCUGGCGGCGUGCCUAACCCAUGCAAGUCGAACGGAAUUAGCUCAAAUGAGACUUCGGUGAAGGAGAGCUAAGAUAGUGGCGGACGGGUGAGUAACGCGUGAACAACCUGCCUUUUUACAGGGGGAUAACACAUGGAAACGUGUGCUAAUACCGCAUAAGACCACAGUGCCGCAUGGCACAGGGGUCAAAGGAGCAAUCCGGUAGAAGAGGGGUUCGCGUCCCAUUAGCUAGUUGGUAGGUAACGGCCUACCAAGGCAACGAUGGGUAUCCGAGCUGAGAGGCUGAACGGACACACUGGGACUGAGAUACGGCCCAGACUCCUACGGGAGGCAGCAGGGAGGAAUAUUGGUCAAAUGGGGGAAACCCUGAACCAGCAACGCCGCGUGAAGGAAGAAGGCCCUCGGGUUGUAAACUUCUGUUUUCAGGGAAGAAAGAAAUGACGGUACCUGAAGAGGAAGCUCCGGCAAACUACGUGCCAGCCGCUGC
rnacentral:rRNA from 1 species